CAUUAAAUUAAAAAGUUUAAAUGUAUUAUUUUUUAUUUCACAUAUUAAAGUUUUAGUUAUGAUACUCCUAAAAUCAUCCGCAUAAAUCUGCAGAUUUUUUACAAAACUCUCAGCUGAAACAGCAUAAAAUGUCCGCAGAUUCUGUAUGGCCCUACCUAUAGCAUGUCUUUGGACCUGUGGGGGAAACCGGAGCACCCAGAGGAAGCCCAUGCGAUUACGGGGAGAUCAUGCAAACUCCACACAGAAAUGCCAACUGACCCAGCCGAGGCUCGAACCAGUAACCUGUGAGGCAAGAAGUUACCCACUGCGCCACCGUGACGCCCGGUGAUGGGAAGACCGACCAAGAGAGUUUCCUUUUGCAGAUUUUCAACACCAGAUAAGGUCUUGUGUGAAAGCAACUUUCAGAGACAUGAAGUGAAGGAAAUUUACUCCCCUUGGUUUGUUUGUUUUGCCGGCCUGUGUGCCAGCGUAGUGAAGAAGAAGUGUGGCUUGUUUUGGUCCGAGUGGGCAGUGGUUGUUCGAAUGCCAUGCCAGACCGUUGCUCUGCUCGGAAGAAACGCCCACACACAUACUCACACACACACACAUGCUAACACAAACACACAUCGGAGGCCUUGGUGGUAUGUGGCAGAUGCCCAGAGCUUCAGCCCACUCCUGUGUGCCAAGAAGAAUCCCUCUGUUCAUGAAGCUGACCGUCACAACAGACUAAACAAGGAAAAAAAAAGUCUUUCUCUUGUGUAAAAGUAUGACAGACUUUCCCAUGGCACAGACUGUGAGGAAUUCUGAAUGAUGUAAGUUGCUUGCAAGAUCUGACCUGGUGGUAACUCUUGAAAUGAGUUGGAACAUACAAUGAAAUUCAUUGCACAUUACUUAACAUUUCUAUAGGACUACAUGAGUUUGUAAGGCUCCACCAUGUGGCGAAAAGACAGAAUUGUUGCCAAAUAUAAUAAACCUAUUCCCAGAAAUCUGUCUACAGAACCACAACAGCUGUAUGCAUUGGCUGUAAAGGUUAGAUUUAAAAAAAUAUUUUUUUAAAUGUUAAAAAACUAUAUACUCGCCCAGCUUAAUAAGACCAAAGCUGUGAUGCUGAGGAUUGUGGACACAUCCCUUUAACUGCCCCACCAAGAAAAACAUUUUUGGUUUGCAUUUCUUAACUCCUAAUGUCGCUAGUUAACACACUAAUUGCAUUUUUUUUUUCAACACAUCCUAUAAUUUCUAAAAUAUCAACCUCUACCAGAUGGUUGACAUGUCGGUUUAUGUUAAAAGUACUGGAAUUAAUACAUCUACUAUGAAAAAUAUAAAG